GCCCUCGUAGCUUAAUGGAUUUAAAGCAGUCCCGUCCUAAGGGAAAGACUGGGGGUUCGAAUCCUCCCGGGGGCA
rnacentral:tRNA from 4 species